rnacentral:tRNA from 1 species
CGGGGUGUGGCUCAGCCCGGUAGAGCGCUCCGUUCGGGUCGGAGAGGUCCCCGGUUCGAAUCCGGGCACCCCGA